rnacentral:rRNA from 1 species
UACGAAGGGGGCUAGCGUUGUUCGGAUUUACUGGGCGUAAAGCGCACGUAGGCGGAUCGUUAAGUCGGGGGGUGAAAUCCUGGAGCUCAACUCCAGAACUGCCUUCGAUACUGGCGAUCUUGAGUCCGGAAGAGGUGAGUGGAACUCCUAGUGUAGAGGUGGAAUUCGUAGAUAUUAGGAAGAACACCAGUGGCGAAGGCGGCUCACUGGUCCGGUACUGACGCUGAGGUGCGAAAGCGUGGGGAGCAAACAGGG